UGUUGGGUUAAGUCCCGUAACGAGCGCAACCCUUGUCCUUAGUUACCAGCACGUUAUGGUGGGCGACUCUAAGGAGACUGCCGGUGACAAACCGGAGGAAGGUGAGGAUGACGUCAAGUCAUCAUGGCCCUUACGGCCUGGGCUACACACGUGCUACAAUGGUCGGUACAAAGGGUUGCCAAGCCGCGAGGUGGAGCUAAUCCCAUAAAAACCGAUCGUAGUCCGGAUCGCAGUCUGCAACUCGACUGCGUGAAGUCGGAAUCGCUAGUAAUCGUGAAUCAGAAUGUCACGGUGAAUACGUUCCCGGGCCUU
rnacentral:rRNA from 1 species